UACGUAGGCAGCGAGCGUUGUUCGGAGUUACUGGGCGUAAAGGGUGUGUAGGCGGUUCUCUAAGUUUGGUGUGAAAUCUCCCGGCUCAACCGGGAGGGUGCGCCGAAAACUGGGGGACUCGAGUGCGGGAUGGGAGAGUAGAAUUCCCGGUGUAGUGGUAAAAUGCGUAGAUAUCGGGAGGAACACCAGUGGCGAAGGCGACUUCCUGGCCUGUUCUUGACGCUGAGGCGCGAAAGCUAGGGGAGCAAACGGG
rnacentral:rRNA from 1 species